rnacentral:rRNA from 1 species
CUAAUGCAUGCAAGUCGACGCUGAAGCAUUCUGCUUGCAGAGUGCGGAUGAGUGGCGACGGUGAGUAACACGUGGGAAAUCGCCUAUAAGUGGGGGAUAACAUUCGGAACGGAUGCUAAUCCGCAUAUAUUCUUGGACCGCCUGGUCCUUGAAAGAAAGACGGCUUUGCUGUCGCUUAUAGAUGAUCCCGCGGCGUAUUAGUUAGUUGGUGGGGUAAAGGCCUACCAAGACAAUGAUACGUAGCCGACCUGAGAGGGUGAUCGGCCACACUGGGACUGAGACACGGCCCAGACUCCUACGGGAGGCAGCAGUAGGGAAUCUUCCACAAUGGGCGAAAGCCUGAUGGAGCAAUGCCGGCGUGAAUGAAGAAGGUCUUCGGAUCGUAAAGUUCUGUUAUUAGAGAAGAACAAGUCAAGGAGUAACUGAUCUUGACUUUGACGGGUACCUAACCAGAAA